rnacentral:SRP_RNA from 1 species
GCCAGGUGUGGUGGCGUGCACCUGUAAUCCCAGCUACUCAGGAGGCUGAAGCAGGAGAAUUGCUUGAACCCAGGAGGUGGAGAUUGCAGUGAGCCCAGAUCACGCCACUGCACUCCAGCCUGGGCAACAGAGCAAGACUCUGCCUCAA